rnacentral:rRNA from 1 species
CAGUAGCCACGGGAAUACGGAGGGCGCGAGCGUUACCCGGAUUUACUGGGCGUAAAGGGCGUGUAGGCGGCCUGGGGCGUCCCAUGUGAAAGGCCACGGCUCAACCGUGGAGGAGCGUGGGAUACGUUCAGGCUAGAGGGUGGGAGAGGGUGGUGGAAUUCCCGGAGUAGCGGUGAAAUGCGCAGAUACCGGGAGGAACGCCGAUGGCGAAGGCAGCCACCUGGUCCACUUCUGACGCUGAGGCGCGAAAGCGUGGGGAGCAAACCGGAUUAGAUACCCCCGUAGUCCCUGUCUCUUAUAA